AAAAAAAGGAAGAAAAAAAAAAGAAACAAACUUCCCCUGCUUUGCCAAAGAGACUUGCCCUCAGCCAAGGUCAAGCCAAGCUUGUUUUUGGUUUUCCUUUUGCUGAAGUUUCGUAGGGGCAACUUGCAAAGGAAGGGACUCGCUCCACUCGUUCCUCCCCAGAUCACACGGGGUUGCAGCGACUCAAACAAUCCACUCUAGAUCUCCAUGAAGACAAACUAUUUCCUGGCAGACAUUUUGCCUCUUGUUUACAUUUGCAGCCCGUGUGUUUCUCUUGUUGCAGUGCAAUAUGGCUGUCACAAGAGCUGACAGUUUGGCAUGCACAGCCACUUCUGCUUGCAGCUCUUCCCCCCUCCCCUUCCUGGAAUCAAAGGUGGGGUCUCAGAUGCAGGCCGCACAGAGGAAAACCCCUUCCCCUCCUUUACGCAUCUUUCUGUGGGUUUGGGGCUUGCAAACUUGAGUGGCUUUUGGAUAGGUGCAGCUAUUUAAGAGGUCCUCCAAGCUUAAGAAGCACCCUUUUGGGGUUUGAUUGGUAUCCAGGACUCAGAUGUCCAUUUAAUUCUAGCUCCCAUAAAGUGAAGGGACUUGGGGGGGGGGGGGGGAAA